rnacentral:rRNA from 1 species
AAUGAACGCUGGCGGCAUGCCUAACACAUGCAAGUCGAACGAGACCUUCGGGUCUAGUGGCGCACGGGUGCGUAACGCGUGGGAAUCUGCCCUUGGGUUCGGAAUAACAGUUAGAAAUGACUGCUAAUACCGAAUGAUGUCGUAAGACCAAAGAUUCAUCGCCCAGGGGAUGAGCCCGCGUAGGAUUAGCUAGUUGGUGUGGUAAAAGCGCACCAAGGCGACGAUCCAGCUGGUCUGAGAGGAUGAUCAGCCACACUGGGACUGAGACACGGCCCAGACUCCUACGGGAGGCAGCAGUGGGGAAUAUUGGACAAUGGGCGAAAGCCUGAUCCAGCAAUGCCGCGUGAGUGAUGAAGGCCUUAGGGUUGUAAAGCUCUUUUACCCGGGAUGAUAAUGACAGUACCGGGAGAAUAAGCUCCGGCUAAC